rnacentral:rRNA from 1 species
GNAAUUCGAUUAGAGUUUGAUCAUGGCUCAGAUUGAACGCUGGCGGCGUGCCUAACACAUGCAAGUCGAGCGGUAACAGGUGUAGCAAUACAUGCUGACGAGCGGCGAACGGGUGAGUAAUGCUUCGGAAUCUGCCCAAUGGUGGGGAAUAACCAGCCGAAAGGUUGGCUAAUACCGCAUAAGUCCUACGGGAGAAAGCAGGGGAUCGUAAGACCUUGCGCCGAUGGAUGAGCCGAAGCCGGAUUAGCUAGUUGGUAGGGUAACGGCCUACCAAGGCGACGAUCCGUAGCUGGUCUGAGAGGACGACCAGCCACACUGGGACUGAGACACGGCCCAGACUCCUACGGGAGGCAGCAGUGGGGAAUAUUGGACAAUGGGGGCAACCCUGAUCCAGCGACGCCGCGUGUGUGAAGAAGGCCUGCGGGUUGUAAAGCACUUUUAGUGGGGAUGAAAAGCUCAGGGUUAAUACCUCUGGGUCUUGACCUAACCCAAAGAAAAAGCACCGGCUAACUCUGUGCCAGCAGCCGCGGUAAUACAGAGGGUGCGAGCGUUAAUCGGAAUUACUGGGCGUAAAGCGUGCGUAGACGGUUAUGUAAGUCGGGUGUGAAAGCCCCGGGCUCAACCUGGGAAUUGCAUUCGAGACUGGAUAGCUAGGGUGCGGANGNNNGAAGCGGNNNUUCAGGUGUAGCGGUGAAAUGCGUAGAU